AUUGAACGCUGGCGGCAUGCCUUACACAUGCAAGUCGAACGGCAGCACGGGAGCAAUCCUGGUGGCGAGUGGCGAACGGGUGAGUAAAGUAUCGGAACGUGCCCAGUCGUGGGGGAUAACGUAGCGAAAGUUACGCUAAUACCGCAUACGAUCUAUGGAUGAAAGCGGGGGAUCGCAAGACCUCGCGCGAUUGGAGCGGCCGAUAUCGGAUUAGGUAGUUGGUGGGGUAAAGGCUCACCAAGCCGACGAUCUGUAGCUGGUCUGAGAGGACGACCAGCCACACGGGGACUGAGACACGGCCCAGACUCCUACGGGAGGCAGCAGUGGGGAAUUUUGGACAAUGGGCGAAAGCCUGUUCCAGCCAUGCCGCGUGCAGGAUGAAGGCCUUCGGGUUGUAAACUGCUUUUGUACGGAACGAAAAGGUUUGGGCUAAUAAGCUGAGCUCAUGACGGUACCGUAAGAAUAAGCACCGGCUAACUACGUGCCAGCAGCCGCCGUAA
rnacentral:rRNA from 1 species